rnacentral:antisense_RNA from 1 species
CUUCAGCGAGCCGAGCCGCAGGGGCCGGUCGCCGGGGCGCUCCCGCCCGUAGGUGGCCAGGAGCGCCUGGGCCUC